UGCAGGCGUUCAGGGGCAUCCCCUGGAGGGGGCGCGGGCAGGACCUGCUGAUGACUGGCAGGUGGCGGGGGCUGAGGAGUCGGCGGUGCCGCCGCGGAUCGCGCUUUGAGCCUCUGCGUGGCUGGUGGCAACGUGUCCUGAAAUGGGACAGGCCCAAGGAGACGGCGCGGGAGGCAAGGACCGAGUCCUUUGGGGUCUUUUCAUAUCCGAGACCCUAUUAAUCAUCCGCAGAGCGGUGCCGAGCAGGUGGCUGGAUACGCGCGCCCGGCGCUCGGAGAUCGAGCUGGAGGCCUCUGUGGGGAGUCACGGGCCCUCGGAAGCGAUGGAAAGGUCUGGGCCCGACGACCCACCUGAGCAGCCGCUGUGCCCCAGGGCCUUCAGAGCCGGCCUGCAGCGCUGGACGGCGGCCACCCCAACCCGGAGCCACGCAGGCGCUACCCAGCCCGCAGGGGCCGAGUCUGGGGAGGAGGGAGGGUCCCCGGGUGGGGAGUGCACCUUGGGCCUCCCCGUCACAGCGCACCUGCCGCUGCCAGGUACCCGGCUCCCCGACACAAGGCUCUUUGUUCUCGCAACAGCUUGUUUCAUUCAGGUUUCCCCAGAGCAGCGUGCUAAGGGGUCUGAAGGAGAGUUCUCUCGUAAAUCCCCUUGCAAAGGAAAUCCUUGUGUCCCAGUGAUAUGUUUGGUCUCGACCUCUCUUUCAUAAACUCUUUGUUAUCUGUUAACGCACCUGUUCCUGCUCAGAAGCUGUAGCAGCGCACUUCCCUGGCUCCAAGGGGGGAGGCGGUAGCAACCCCUGUGGUGGGCAGUUCCCAAAGACGAUGCUAUUUCAAUGAGGCAAGAUGAAGGGCUUUUGAAAAUCCCCGCCGAAUACUCAUAAAAUGGUCUUAUUUCAGAAUUAUUGCAUGAGUUUCCUUCCCCAUCCAAGAGAAUGAGAUUUCUCCAUAAAUCAAAGAUUUAUUUAAAGAAAAUGCAAGAGCUUGGGCUCCGGAAUCAGAAAGACCUGGACUCAAACCCUUAACUCCGCUACUUACGUUUCCGUAAUGGAGACAACUCAUUUCACUUCUCUGAGCCUCAGUCUCCUGAUCUGUAAAAUGGUGAUAAUGGUAACAGUUCACCAACCUUCACAAGGUGACUGAGACAACUGGGGAUAAUUAUGGAAAUUGAAAAGCACAGAGGAGGCUCCCAAUAAAUGGGAGUUACUAUCUUUAUGUUGUCUUUUGUCUUUCAAACCCAUGUUCAGAGGACGAUGGGGAGCUGCGUGUCUUCUGCAGCCGGGUUGAUAUUGUACAGUGGCCAGGACGGGAGCCCUUUUCCGAAGGCCUUCUACACCUGGAGUCUUCUAAAACUGGGGUUUGGGCCAUCUGAAAAGGCUCGGCAGGCGGGUCUGGCCCGGCCAUCCUGCCGGUGAAACCCGUUCUCUCUCCUCAGACGCGCGUGAAUGGCCCUCUCGUCGGGUUGCUCCUCUCACGCUGCACCGUCCGCGGCAGUUUUGUGUGACUGUCUCCUUUGCCUUCAGAUUAGGAGGAUCAGAUGCCCCGGUCGUCCACUGUGGUUCCUGGGGCCACCAGCCCAGCGGCUCCACCUGUGGCCAAGCCUGGGAAGCUGAAUCCGUUGCCUCAGAUGAGAAUUUCUGUACCCACCCCCAAUGCAAGGAACCCCAGCCCUGGUCCCCCAGCGUGUCCAGAACUUUGCAGUGGCUCAUUUAUGUCUGUCAAGUAAACAGAAUGAAGCGUUGCUAAGGACUCGAGGACCUAAAAUGGGUCGUGGAACAUGUGUGACAUUUUGUGAGGUCUUUGUAGAGCAACAUAAAAGAAAAGGAAAUCUGCUUCCUCACAACAAAGUUUUGAUUGAUAGUUUCUGUUUCUUUUUUAGUUUCUGGCCUCUUUCCAUAACGGGAUUCUGAGGUCACUGGAGCAAAGACUGCAGUCCAAGAUGUGUUUGGAAGAAAUGAUUCUAAUUUUACUAAGGCUGAGAGGUAACUAGAGAACGAGCUGCCUACGAGACCCCAGAGCGCUCCCCUUGCUGCCACAGUUCUGGGUCAGAGUUCCCCUCCUCUCCAGGUUCUGAGAUAAAGAGAACUCAAGGGCUCACUCGCCUUGGAUGCCCUCACAAUUUCUGGUCCAGCCCUGGAUUGCUGCAAACCAUAGGCCCCGGUGGCCACGGUAAGUACCAGGGUUAAUUACUUCAUCCUUUCACCAUCACAUAUGUUCAUUCAUCCGUUCCACAAAUUGAGCCCUGCACCAGGCACUCAAACACAUUUCCAGCUGCCACGGUCCAGCGUGAUGAGCGUGUGAAGGAGAAAAGGGCAGGAUGCUACGGGAGCUCCGAAUGGCAGCUCCUGACCCAGAACUGGGAAGAGAUGACAUUGAAAUGAUGACCUAUCAUUUCAACGUGGAGGAAGCACAGAGCAGCGAUGGAGGAAGGCCUCUGGGCAGAGGAAACGGCAGGUCUGGGGGCUGGGAGGCCAGAAGCCCCACGGUGUCCCGAUGGCCCUCCAGUCGGGAUCAUCCAGUCAAGACCCUGCCCCAGAAUGAAGCAGCCUCCCACCUAGGGCCACCCAACUAAGUUCAUCUGGGUUCAGUCGUACCUCCAUCUGCAGGGACCUCCGGGCUCAGUCACCUGGAAUGGCUCCAGUUUGGGUGGAAGGCUGUUGUUUGCUGGAGAUGUUGGAUGCAUGGGGGCCUAAACCUCCACACACAUACAGGGUGGAAUUUUCUCUUUUUGCAAGUGAGGAGGGGCAGAGAUAGAGCCACGCUCUCAGUCCCUGCGUGGUUUCCCAGAGCACCCCUCCGAGGCCGACAGAACUCCAUUGAAUCCGUACUUUCAUACAGACCAACUUGUCACACGAACCCCAGCCAUCUUCCGUAAAGGAUUAAAAUUUCAAACCAUCUGGCUUAACCCCUGAGGCCUAUGGACGUAAACAGAAAACAGAUGAGAACACCAAGGGGAUAAGCCAUCAUCACUCGAACUUUGGCAGAGAUGCAAAAGGCAGGCAGAGGGGAAGGAAAGCUUCAUAGCGGAACAAAGGGAAGGCUUCCAGUGUGCCCUGAUUGGAGACUACUGGCCCCAGGAAACUGCAGGCAGAGAAUCCGCACUAAAAAAAGAAAGAAAGAAGAGAGUUCUGGCUUCUGUUGAAGAUUCAGAAGUUUUUACAGCAGCAGCGGGCCAUCCUGCCCCAUGGCUGCCAUCGGCUGCUGCUUGGGCUCCGUGGGGACAGCUUCUCACUGCUUCCACCGUCGCCCAGUGACUGAUUCCAGACCCUUCCGCUGCAUCUACUGUGUUCUUUAUUUCAACUAGAAAAGCUUUCAUACUUAAUUUUUCUUAGGUCUUUUAAAUUAAUGACUUCUUAUUCCUGUUUUACAAUGCCAAUAGCUUCCUUUUCUAUUAAAAUAAAUAUAGGGGACUUCCCUGGCGGUCCAGUGGUUAGAACUCUACGCUCUCACUGUCAACGGCCCGGGUUUGAUCCCCGGUUGGGGAACUAAAAUCUCAUAAGCCACGCGGCGUGGCCCAGAAAAUAUAAAUAACUAAAAAUUAUGACUAUGUUUAAGUCUUAGCCCAUCUGUCCCAAUAGCUCUGCUUUGGAUGGUAUCCACUGUCCCACUUUUUAGUCUUUCUUUUCGGAUUUUUGCUCCUGGAGCCCCUGAGAUCAGGUUCCUGGGGUGUCGGCCACUCUGGAUGUAAUGCCCUUUGGGGUUAAGGGCUGUGUCCCAAUCUGGGCGCCUCUUGGGAGGCUAAGGAGUGGAGAGGGGUGACCCCCCGGGGGGAGUCACAGGCACCACGGAACCCUUAGGUGAGCACUUCUGUGGGCUGCCAUGCCGCCGUGCAGCUCCUCUUCUCUCAUCUAGUCUUAAAUAAGCAACGUGGGGAGAAAAGGGUCUCCACUUGGAGAGCGAGGAGGGUGGAGGAGUGGAUGCCCGAGGGCAGCUAGUGGAGCCCUGACGGUUUCCGUUCACUCCCGUCCUUCCCAUCCUGACUUUUGUUCUUCCUGAUACUGGUGCCCCAGACACGCACCAAUGGCCUGACUUUUUGCUGCUGAUCUCUGAGGCAAAUGGCCAGGUGACGAUUAUUCCAAAAGCUCUUGGGCAACAGGAAACAGCAGGGCUUGUUAUCUUUAUUAGUUCCUCAAGUCCACGCUUCUCUCUCUCCAGGGCUGACUAGGAGGUGGGGGACCUAUAGCCCAGGGCAGCCCACCCUCUUGACAGGAAGCCUUCGCCAAUUCUCUUGGUGUAGAAAACCACCUCUUGGCACCAGAGGCAGAUUUCCAUGAUGCUAAUGGAAUUAAGCUUUGGGACCCCUGGCCUGCAUAAACUCAUUCUAAACUCCGGGAGGGGGCCUAGUAAUUUGUUCGCAGGAUCAUAUUUUUUGGUAAAAUUUGCAAGAAUAAAUAUAUUCUCACUGCAAUUGGUUUCUUUCCUGUCACUGUCACUCUGAUUUUCCCUUCAUCUCUCUUCCUCUCACUUUUCCUCCCAACCAACCCCCAUGUUGGUCAGCUUUAGAGCAUCUCCUUUUGGGGGGAUUUGACUAAAGAGAAAUUGAG